UAUAGGUUUUCAUCAAUAAAUCCUUCCUCCACAAUUCCAUUCAAAACCAACAAAAAUGAGUAGCAACAUACCAUCUCAAGAAAGUUUUGUUGUACAAAGGAAAAUGGACAUGAGAGGUGGACUCCACCUGAUCUAAGAUGAAGGAAAGAUGGAGUGGAACCGUCAUACCGAUACCCAUUCUUGAGGAGGCAGUGACUGCUAUAGCCUCAGACACCGGUUUGGUGUUCACAUGGCGUGAGUUGUAUGAACGUUUUCAAUUUUUUGAGAGCCGAAGAAAGAGCCAUAAAUUCCAACAUCGUCGUCAUAUCCGACACAACGGUGCCAAUUAUUGAUCAAGAGUAUCCACCGAGUCCUAGGGGUGGGGAGUAUGAGCCAUCCGGAGCGGCAAGUGAAUCCGUGUGCUCCCCGAUUCUUCACAAUGUAGUACCCACAAGACGCAAAUUGUUUAAUUUGGAUACUCAGUCCGGCAAUGAAAGUGAUCAUGUUUUUGUUGCUCCUCGAAAUGAGGGUGGUUUGAAGAGAAAGCCGUCGUCCUCUUGCCGUUCGAAGUCGCCUUCAAUACCACCUUUCAACCCAGUGGCUUCUUCUCGCGACAGCUCUUGUUUGAUCCAAUAGCCCAAACCAAUAGAGGAGACACAACUUCAAGUAGAUUGGCUGCAUUUAUUCUGUAGCUUAUGAAGAACCACCAUCCUUAGUAGGUUAAUUAGAUUAAAUUAUGUCUGUUUUAUCAUUAUGUUUGUUCUGUGUUGUAGCGUCUAAGUAUAGUCGACUAUUGCUAAUGUAUGCUUUCGUUCAACACACCUGUCUUUGAUUUGUA